CCAAAACACCCUCGCCACACCCCCGCAGGGGCACACACCCAGUACGUCAUGAACCCCUUGCCCCCUUGGUGCUAAGCCACUGCCAAGUGCCCAAAAUGGGGCGACAGCUCACGUGCCCACGAAGAGGGCUCUGAGUGCCACCUCUGGCACCCGUGCCAUAGGUUCACCACCACUGUUCUAUCCCAAUCCACUCGUUGCUUUGUUACAUAGAUUUUUGACAGAUGUGUA